UCGUAGCAGCGUAGAGUUUGAUCCUGGCUCAGAAUUCUUACACAGGGUACCCUAAAAUUUUAUCCCGGGUCCCAAAUUAAAACCAAGGAACCCCAAAGUUUUGGGCGAGAACCCCUCCUAAAGGAACGCUAAUACCGCGUACGUCCUACGGGAGAAAGCAGGGGACCUUCGGGCCUUGCGCUAUCAGAUGAGCCUAGGUCGGAUUAGCUAGUUGGUGAGGUAAUGGCUCACCAAGGCGACGAUCCGUAACUGGUCUGAGAGGAUGAUCAGUCACACUGGAACUGAGACACGGUCCAGACUCCUACGGGAGGCAGCAGUGGGGAAUAUUGGACAAUGGGCGAAAGCCUGAUCCAGCCAUGCCGCGUGUGUGAAGAAGGUCUUCGGAUUGUAAAGCACUUUAAGUUGGGAGGAAGGGCAGUAAGUUAAUACCUUGCUGUUUUGACGUUACCGACAGAAUAAGCACCGGCUAACUUCGUGCCAGCAGCCGCGGUAAUACGAAGGGUGCAAGCGUUAAUCGGAAUUACUGGGCGUAAAGCGCGCGUAGGUGGUUCAGUAAGUUGGAAGUGAAAUCCCCGGGCUCAACCUGGGAACUGCUUUCAAAACUGCUGAGCUAGAGUACGGUAGAGGGUAGUGGAAUUUCCUGUGUAGCGGUGAAAUGCGUAGAUAUAGGAAGGAACACCAGUGGCGAAGGCGACUACCUGGACUGAUACUGACACUGAGGUGCGAAAGCGUGGGGAGCAAACAGGAUUAGAUACCCUGGUAGUCCACGCCGUAAACGAUGUCAACUAGCCGUUGGGAUCCUUGAGAUCUUAUUGGCGCAGCUAACGCAUUAAGUUUGACCGCCUGGGGAGUACGGCCGCAAGGUUAAAACUCAAAGAAUUGACCGGAGGCCCCGCACAAGCGGUGGGACCAUGUUGUUUUAAUUCGAAAGCAACGCGAAAAACCCUUACCUGGCCCUUGACAUGCUGAGAAACUUUCCAGAAAAUGGGAUUGGGUGCCUUUCGGAGACUCAGACCAAGGUGGCUGCAUGGGAUGUCGGUCAGCUGCU
rnacentral:rRNA from 1 species